GACGAACGCUGGCGGCGUGCUUAACACAUGCAAGUCGAACGGAAAGGCCCUGCUUGCCGGGUACUCGAGUGGCGAACGGGUGAGUAACACGUGGGUGAUCUGCCCUGCACUUCGGGAUAAGCCUGGGAAACUGGGUCUAAUACCGGAUAGGAGCCAUUUUUAGUGUGAUGGUUGGAAAGUUUUUUCGGUGUAGGAUGAGCUCGCGGCCUAUCAGCUUGUUGGUGGGGUAAUGGCCUACCAAGGCGGCGACGGGUAGCCGGCCUGAGAGGGUGGACGGCUACAUUGGGACUGAGAUACGGCCAGACCUCCUCCGGGGGGCAGCAUUGGGGAAUAUUGAACAAUGGGCGCAGGCCGGAUGCAGGAACGCCGGUUGGGGAUGACGGCCUUCGGGUUGUAAACUCCUUUCGCUAGGGACGAAGCUUUUUGUGACGGUACCUAGAUAAGAAGCACCGGCUAACUACGUG
rnacentral:rRNA from 1 species